CAGUUCACUCUAAAGUCUUGUGUGAGUUUCUUGUUCCUGCUUUGCAAGCUUCUCCUCUAGUCUUUUGAGGUCAUCUUCUGAAGUUGCACACAAAAUGUACAUCAUCACAACCUCUACAUAGGAAUCACAAUUGUCAAGAUACAUCGUAUGAAAAGAUACAACAAAAUUAAAAAUGAAGAGAAGUUAUCGAUACCUAUUGGCAACCCAAGCACAUGACCGUUCAAAUCGAAUACCCCACCAAGAUGCAGAAUACUAAGGAUGAAACGAACCCAAAUCGAAUAGCCGAAGCAAUUCUAGGAAAAAUCAGAAGAUCUGCUGAAAAACUAUCCUAGCAUGCCCCGUGCCCCAUCAGAAAAUACAACUGCAUCUACUGAAGAUCGUUUCCAAAUUCUAGCCAAGAAAGAAAUUAGACACGCCCUGUACCUUAGCCACAAUAUGACAAAAAAAAAA